GCAGCUGCCGGACACCAGGAGACGAUGGAAGGUCUAUAGUGUUACAGCUCUGACCCAGGAAGUCCCAGGGUCUUGCCUUCCAGAAGGGUCGCGGCUCUUCCCUCCCUCAGUCCAACGAACAGGAGCACGUCACCUCCCGCAGCUCGGGGAGCUGGCCAGGAACGUGUUACAGCCCGUUUCGCUCCUGUCCGCAGCUGGGUGAGGCAGCCAGGAAAAUAUUACAGCUCUUCUCACGCCCGCCAUUCAGCAGGUCCUGACUUCUUGUGUGACAUCCAGAAGAAAGGGGUUACACAGACAGCUGGAGGGUGAGCAAAGUGGAGAAGUUCUCAGCAGAGAGGAGACUGGAGUGAGUUGCCCCUACCCGCAGGUGCCAACUGUAAUACAUCAGUAGCUGAACAGCUCAUUGCCCUCAAGUGUUCUUGCUCAUGCCUGGCUGAGUUAUUGAAGAAAUUGCUCAGAUCUCAAGCCCUUGUAGAUCACUGGUCCUGGCAGAUGUUAUGGGGAACUCGCUAUGUUGCCCAGGCUGGUCUUGAACUCAUGGUCUCAGGCAGUCCUCCUGCCUCAGCUUCCCAAAGUGCUGGAAUUACAGAUACGUGAACAGAAAAGCCUGAACUAGGGAACUGACCAUGAAACUAAAAAGGAGAAAGCAUAUGCAAGUGGACACAAUAAUGAAGAAUUCUACAAGAAAGUAGAAACAUGACAGAAAGAAGAGUACAGGAGAACGGGUGAAACUUGAAAACUGAUAGAAAUGAUAGAACAGGAUCUAUACUUCUGCAGGUCACUGAAGUGAAGAGUUUGAUGUUCUUCCUAGAUCUUCAUAGACGUAGAAUUGCCUGUGUAAUCUCCUUACCUCACUAGUCUGCCCUGUCUUCCUUCUUGCUAGAUGAGAAAUAAAGAAAACAAGAAAAGCAAGGGAAAGGAGAGAAAAAAGGAGGGAUACAGCAAGAGGGAGAAAGAAAAGGACGAGAAAAUAAAUUACUAAAGGGAGAAAAGAAAAAGAAAAAAGAAAAAGCAGAGAAGAAGUUAAUCCCCUGGUGAAUUUUUCACAGGCUAUCUGGAACUCAAAAGUUCAAUCUUUAUCCAUCUAUCACUAAGUCAACUUCUGGAACCUCUUCUUCUAGAACCAGUUAGGGAAGCCACUGAAGGAGGGUUAUAGGACAAAAUAUAUGUUGGUGUGAACUUUAAAAAAAGAAUUUGUGUUUAAGGAUGAAACUGUAAUGGUUUUGAAAUUGCACUAACCACAUUUGAUUUGAGCUGAAUCAAAAGUAGAAAAAUCAGCAAAUUCUACAUAAAAAACUAAGGAAGAGGAAGAAGAUCCAACUUAGAAAAUCCAGUGGAAUAAUAAUUCCAUUAGUAAGAUAACGAUACAGAGAGAUGAUGACACUGGAGUUUUCAGAGAGCAUUGAGGCAAUAUGUAGCUAUGGAAUUUGAAAAAAAAAAUGGUUCAUUUUUGGAAGAUUACUACAACAGUCAUGUUAGAUUAAUUGAAAUGAAGGUUGGUGUUAUAAGGCUUUAAAAAUAGUCCAACUGGAAAUACGAAAGCUUGAAAAGCAGCUUUGAAAAACAAAGACAGAGGGGAAAGGGAUGAAGAGAAAUACAACUGAGAUUUAAGAUAUAAAAUAACUGAAAUCUGGAACUAAUCAACUGUGAAAAUCAAGCAACGAGAAAGAGUUGUAAAUUAUUUUAAAAUAUCUGGCUCGAUCAACUUUGCCAGUUUUAGAGCCAGUCUUUGCAAAAAGGGAGAAACAAAACAGAUGAGACAAGAAAGGAACAUCCAGCAUGCUGUGAACCCCCUGAGACUGGCCAUGAUCUGAAAGAGUAAAGCUCUAUCCAGGGAACCUUUUCUGAAUCAUAGUGUCAGACUUCCUGCUCUUUUCAACUCCCCUGGUUUUAUCAUCUCUACUCUGUUUCAGCAAUCUACUGCCAUGGCCACAUCCUGAAUGUUGACAAUACCCUAAACUGUGCCAUUUAUAAGAUCUCUGACACACCAACCUCUCUCCUCUUACAGCUCUCAAUGAUGUAUAUGACCUCAGCUUAUUCUAAUAUGCUUACAGAUUAUACACCCGUGAUAUUGAUGGCAGUGGCUGCUGCUGUCGUGGCUGCUGCUAUCACGCCUGCUGCAACACAGAGGUGCGACUGGGGCUGCACAUUUCACGGAGGUGUUGGGAGUUCCGCCCCUUCUGAUGUGGGGAAAGAGAUCCCCAGGUGCCCCUGCAUCUGCCCAAACUGUGGCUGUGGAUCGGAGGCUCCAGGUUGGCAGGUUGGGAGCUUCCGGGUGCAGCUGCGACCGCCCUCCCAGGUGCAGGACCCUGGUGUUUCUGCAGCCUGCACCCUUGGGGGCCCCAGGAAAGACCCAUAUCCUUGCAGGCUUGGAGGUGUUUGCUUCUUCUGCCUGGCCUCUCUCGGCUCCCGGUGCAUGCUCUCAUAUCUGAGUGGGGGUUGGUGCUGAGCCCCGGGGCCGUGAAUUGCAGCAGGAGGCAGAUUUAUUCCUGGGCAGAAGGUGGCAGAUCCCAAGUAAGGGGACCUUCAAGCCAGGGAGGGCCUGAAGGCUGGUGGCUGGGCUACCAGUCCCACCGACCAGAGUGGGGAUUCGUGGGCCUCUUCUGGGCCACCCAUAGCCACCCAUGGACCAAUCAGCAAGCACAUCCUCCCCUCUGAGGUCCGUAAAAGCCCUGGGCGCAGCCUGAGCAGGGCAGAGGAAGGCCAGAGGUGAAGGAGUCAGAGAGGCGACAGGAUAGGCAGCUGCCGAGAGAAGUACGCCUCUCUGCUGAGACCUGGAGAUGACGGGAAGGCCAGAUGCAGAGAGGAGCUACCCUCUCUGCUUAGAGCUGCCAGGAGGAGCUACCAACCUUCUCUGCUGAGAGCUGCAGAGAUGACCUGCUGGCAGAGAGGAGCUACCCACUGCGGGUCUCCUCUGAUCUGUUGUAAUGCUGAAUAAAGCUUCUUUUCAUCUUGUUCACCUUCCACUUGUCUGCAUACCUCAUUCUACCCGGACGCAAGCAAGAACUCGAGCAAAGGCACAACCAGCCACAGAGGUUUCUGGCCAGAAAAUCGACACCCCAAAAGUCCUAUAACAAUCUGAUUCUAAAAGCAACAUCAUCUUUUCAAUGUAAUUCUAAAAGAAUUUGGGAUUAUUUUAUUUAAUUUCAGGAUCCCCUCUGAAGAAAAUCAACUUACAAAGGAUGGCAGGUCUUAAGAAAGGUACUUAGCAAGUGCUGGUACAUUCUAAGCAAUCAAUAUUUGUCAAUGUUCAGUAAUUGUACAAUUGUACUAGAGAAAACAAUUCCAGGGGCUUAAAAUUAUCUUAUACAAGGAUCCACUUUAUUAUUAUUUUUUCUGUUUGUUUUGGAUAAAUUACUGACUCCUUAUCUCAGUUAUGUUAUGUGUUAAAUGUUUACAGUGUUAUUUUGUAUCUCUCAAGGGCUUUUGUUAGAAUUUUCAAUGAGAUACCUUAAAACCUCUAAAAAGAAAAUGGAUGUUAUAAGUAAAUAAAAAUAAGUCUGAAUGGC